UACAGAGGUCCCGAGCGUUGUUCGGAUUCACUGGGCGUAAAGGGUGCGUAGGCGGGUCUUUUAAGUCAGGGGUGAAAUCCUGGAGCUCAACUCCAGAACUGCCUUUGAUACUGAAGAUCUUGAGUUCGGGAGAGGUGAGUGGAACUGCGAGUGUAGAGGUGAAAUUCGUAGAUAUUCGCAAGAACACCAGUGGCGAAGGCGGCUCACUGGCCCGGUACUGACACUGAGGUGCGAAAGCGUGGGGAGCAAACAGG
rnacentral:rRNA from 1 species